rnacentral:rRNA from 1 species
UACGUAGGGUGCAAGCGUUAAUCGGAAUUACUGGGCGUAAAGGGUGCGCAGGCGGCUCCGCAUGUCGGGCGUGAAAUCCCCGGGCUUAACCUGGGAAUUGCGUCCGAAACUAUGGAGCUGGAGUGUGGCAGAGGGAGGUGGAAUUCCAGGUGUAGCGGUGAAAUGCGUAGAUAUCUGGAAGAACACCGGUGGCGCAAGCGGAUUGCUGGGCCAUAACUGACACUGAGGAACGAAAGCUAGGGGAGCGAAUGGA